rnacentral:pre_miRNA from 1 species
UGGACCUGGAUAUGGAGGAAUACAACACCAGGAGAUUUUACUUCGUAGAGCACAAGCCGCCAUCAAGACAGAGCAAGAGUCUCACUGAGUGUCAUGAGAAGCUCAGCAAGGUGCAAGCCUGGUGUAAGUUCCAGGACAAGGUCAUUGAUAAGUGUUUCAAGAUGAUCACGUCCAUACACAAGAAGAUGAGCUGUUCCUCUUCUGGCACCGCUGCACCA